AUACGGAGGGUGCAAGCGUUAAUCGGAAUUACUGGGCGUAAAGCGUACGUAGGCGGUUCGUUAAGUUAGAUGUGAAAGCCCCGGGCUUAACCUGGGAACUGCAUUUAAAACUGGCGAACUAGAGUUGAGUAGAGGGGAGUGGAAUUUCAGGUGUAGCGGUGAAAUGCGUAGAGAUCUGAAGGAACACCAGUGGCGAAGGCGACUCCCUGGACUCGAACUGACGCUGAGGUACGAAAGCGUGGGUAGCAAACGGAAUUAGAAACCCCAGUAGUCC
rnacentral:rRNA from 1 species